rnacentral:rRNA from 1 species
AACGAACGCUGGCGGCAGGCUUAACACAUGCAAGUCGAACGCAUCCUUCGGGGUGAGUGGCAGACGGGUGAGUAACGCGUGGGAACGUGCCCUUCAGUUCGGGAUACACCAGGGCAACUUGGGCUAAUACCGGAUACGUGCGAGAGCAGAAAGAUGUAUCGCUGAAGGAUCGGCCCGCGUCUGAUUAGCUAGUUGGUGGGGUAAUGGCCCACCAAGGCGACGAUCAGUAGCUGGUCUGAGAGGAUGAUGAGCCACAUUGGGCCUGAGACACGGCCCAAACUCCUACGGGAGGCAGCAGUGGGGAAUAUUGGACAAUGGGCGCAAGCCUGAUCCAGCCAUGCCGCGUGAGUGAUGAAGGCCUUAGGGUUGUAAAGCUCUUUCGUCCGGGACGAUAAUUGCGGUACCGGAAGAAGAAGCCCCGGCUAUCUUCGUGCCAGCAGCCGCCGUAA